UACGUAGGGUGCGAGCGUUGUCCGGAAUCAUUGGGCGUAAAGCGCGUGUAGGCGGCCAGAAAAGUCCGCUGUGAAAACUCGAGGCUCAACUUCGAGCUGUCGGUGGAAACUUUCUGGCUAGAGUCCGGAAGAGGAGAAUGGAAUUCCUGGUGUAGCGGUGAAAUGCGCAGAUAUCAGGAAGAACACCCGUGGCGAAGGCGGUUCUCUGGGACGGUACUGACGCUGAGACGCGAAAGCGUGGGUAGCGAACAGG
rnacentral:rRNA from 1 species